rnacentral:rRNA from 1 species
UACGUAGGGGGCGAGCGUUGUCCGGAUUUAUUGGGCGUAAAGAGCGUGUAGGCGGCCAGGUAGGUCUGCUGUGAAAACUCGAGGCUCAACCUCGAGACGUCGGCGGAAACCAUCUGGCUAGAGUCCGGAAGAGGAGAGUGGAAUUCCUGGUGUAGCGGUGAAAUGCGCAGAUAUCAGGAAGAACACCCGUGGCGAAGGCGGCUCUCUGGGACGGUACUGACGCUGAGACGUGAAAGCGUGGGGAGCGAACAGG